rnacentral:lncRNA from 1 species
GCGACCCCAUGAGUAGUAAAUAACACCAUUUGCUGUACCAAAAUGUAAUUUAUUUGGCAAUCUGUUAUUUCUUUAUUUGGUGUUUAUAGCUUAGUCAAACAUUAUAUGGCUAUUUAGAAACUUUUCUACUAUCGCUCCUCCUUCGUGCUGUUGACCCCGUUAACGUGUAACCAAAAAUUUUCGAAUUUCUUUUACGUGUUUAAACAUGCUUCUUCUGAAAAAAUGCAGCUGAUGAUUUAGGAUGAAGAAUGUUCUCGAAGACUACAAAAUAAUAGAUUCCGCGUUGGACUACCCGCUGAUUUUUAUCUACCCCAUGCAGUUCUAUAUAAGUCAGAUGGUAACCUGUGGUUUUUCUCGCAUAAGAGAUGGUUUCUUCUGUUACGUGUACCACCCGUUGACGAACUUAUUAACCAUUUCCAUGAACUACGACUCUAUAAAAGUAACAAGUAGAUACUACAGUUUAUAAAAUAUCUCCAAUGAUUCACUUUGAGAUUUAUGUGGUUGUUUAACAAUUUUUUUGGACAAGAUUUAUUAUAUUUUUAAUGGAAAUCAAUCACUUGAU